AACAUUGCCAUCUGCUCUUGUACAUGCUGCCAUUUUCAAAUCGAUUCUAUCUCUAAUACUUUUUGAGAAAAAUGCAAAUAAAAGAAAUUGCUUCAAGGGGAUAUAACUCUUAAAGGAGAUGAUGAAACCCUAUGCAGCCUCAUAUGGUAAUACAUCAUGAUGAGAUCUACCUAUUGUCCAAAUAAAGUCAUGAUAUCUUUUAACACAUUUUGGGGGGACCAUGUUGAAAAAAAUCAAUAAAAGGGAGAUAACUUCUAAAGGGGAUGGUGAAAUCCUACAAAAGUUCAUCUGGUUAAAGUUCAUGUUGAGGUCUAUCUAUGGUCCAAUUUUGGUAUUGAUAAGUCCAAUAGAAGCGGUAGGAGGGCGCGCCAAAAAAUGCUGGAAGAAAAAAAAGAAAAAAAAACAUUAGAAAAACAAUACGGUCUUUCCUCGCGGAGAGGAAAGACCUUAAAAAGAAGA
rnacentral:lncRNA from 1 species